UAUUUUUCAUGCACGCCAAAAGGACAUACAUGGUUGGAAGGAUUACAAUUUCAUCUUAGCAAAACUAUAAAAACAAGAAGGCCAAGGACUCCAACAUAGCGGGUCCUCAAAUUUUAGUGGCUUUAAUUGUUAGUAUUAAGUAUCAACGAACUCUAUUGAUUUUCAAAUUCGUCGCAGGCUUGCUCGCAAGCCGGAAUACAGUUCUCACGAGUUGCACCUUCGACCUCCAUGCAUGUUGGCAUGCAUUUAUCCACGCAGUCGGCGGUUGCAGCAGUGCAAAUGUUGAUGUUGGAUGCCAUGAAAACCAUCACAAGCAUGAAGAUGACUACAGAAUUGUUGGCAGCCAUGGAGAAUUAUGUAUUGAAAAAUGCUACUUGAUGUUUUCGGUUUUCUCUUUCCGAGGUAAUAUGAUUUGUUGUUGGUUUAGAAGAGUCAAGGUUCAUCUAAUUUAUAUACAACAUUUUAUGUCAUUUGGAGGAAAACAUGGACAACCAUCAAAGAGUUUGGGAUGAUUAUAGCUAAUUUUAUAAGACUCGAGGUUGAAUCAUUUGGAUUUCUUUUAGAAUGAAGAAGAAUUCAGCGCUAUUAAACUUGUGUCUAUUUAUGGGUUAAAUUCUAAAAUUUAAAAUUGUUAAUGUUAUAAUAAUAACAAACUAUAUAUUAAGAAGGUUUCUAAUUGGAUUAAAUAAUAUUUUUAAGAUACGAGAACACUUUAAACAAGACUGUCAAAGGUACCAAUCUAUCACCAGCAUGCACCUUCUCAAUAAUUAAGAAUACAAUCGUUUAGGUCUAUCCGUCCAAUCAUCCCGUCCUCUCUUGGAUCGUUCAAUUUGAUCGCAAACUUGUUUGCAAGGAUGCUCACACUUUCUGCGAGUUGCACUUUUUACUUUCAUGCACGUAGGCAUGCAU
rnacentral:lncRNA from 1 species